GACGAACGCUGGCGGCGUGCCUAAUACAUGCAAGUAGAACGCACAGUUUAUACCGUAGCUUGCUACACCAUAGACUGUGAAUUGCGAACGGGUGAGUAACGCGUAGGUAACCUGCCUGGUAGCGGGGGAUAACUAUUGGAAACGAUAGCUAAUACCGCAUAAUAUUGAUUAUUGCAUGAUAAUUGAUUGAAAGAUGCUAUUGCAUCACUACCAGAUGGACCUGCGUUGUAUUAGCUAGUAGGUGAGGUAACGGCUCACCUAGGCGACGAUACAUAGCCGACCUGAGAGGGUGAUCGGCCACACUGGGACUGAGACACGGCCCAGACUCCUACGGGAGGCAGCAGUAGGGAAUCUUCGGCAAUGGACGAAAGUCUGACCGAGCAACGCCGCGUGAGUGAAGAAGGUUUUCGGAUCGUAAAGCUCUGUUGUAAGAGAAGAACGGGUGUGAGAGUGGAAAGUUCACACUGUGACGGUAUCUUACCAGAAAGGGACGGCUAACUACGUG
rnacentral:rRNA from 1 species